rnacentral:rRNA from 1 species
AUACGGAAGGUCCGGGCGUUAUCCGGAUUUAUUGGGUUUAAAGGGAGCGCAGGCGGAGAUGCAAGCGUGACGUCAAAUUUCGGGGCUCAACCCCAUCUCGCGUCGCGAACUGCGUCCCUUGGUUGCGGGAAGGGGAGGCGGAACUCGUGGUGUAGCGGUGAAAUGCAUAGAUAUCACGAAGAACUCCGAUCGCGAAGGCAGCCUUCCGGCCCGUCAACGACGCUCAUGCUCGAAGGUGCGGGUAUCAAACAGGAUUAGAUACCCUGGUAGUCCGCACAGUAAACGAUGGACACCCGCGGUUUGGCCUGUAUGGCUGAGCCGCCAAGCGAAAGCGUUAAGUGUCCCACCUGGGGAGUACGCCGGCAACGGUGAAACUCAAAUGAAUUGGCGGGG